UACGUAGGGUGCAAGCGUUGUCCGGAAUUACUGGGCGUAAAGCGCGUGUAGGCGGUUGUCCAAGUUGGAUGUGAAAGCCUUGAGCUUAACUCAAGAAAUGCAUUCAGGACUGGAUGACUAGAGGACCGGAGAGGAUAGUGGAAUUCCCAGUGUAGUGGUGAAAUACGUAGAGAUUGGGAAGAACACCAGUGGCGAAGGCGGCUAUCUGGACAGUUUCUGACGCUAAGACGCGAAAGCGUGGGGAGCAAACAGG
rnacentral:rRNA from 1 species